ensembl:lncRNA
UGACCUACUGGGAAUGUCUUCUGUUUUCUGUAUAGAAACAUUAACAAAGGUAUCAGAGCGUCGCCUUCUUAGUCUUUAACUAGUUACCUUCCAGUAUUUACAAAAAGUGUAAUACUAUCUAUUUUUCUGCAGCUCAUCCCUUUGUCUCUUUAUUUCCCAGUGUGUCUCUUUGUCUCUCAGGCUCCGCCCCCUUGAAGUACAAAAAGUAUAAAACCAGAAGUUAGACACAUUGUUGGUAUCUCCAAAAAACACCUGAGUUUCUCUCCACUGAUUGAACUAUCCUGUCACAAUGCUGUCACGUACAUUAACUAUUUGUUUCAUCUUGGCUUUGGCUGGCCUGGUUAUCCCAGCCCCCGUUAAUGAUGGAGAUACAGACAUGGGAACCACAGGCAGUCCUGAUGCCCCAGACUCAGUAGAUCUGGACAAGUCUCUAGAAAAUAACUUAACAGAGUCUUCAGAAAUUAACUCCAAAGAGUCUUCAGAAAUUAACUCCAAAGAGUCUUCAGAAAUUAACUCCAAAGAGUCUUCAGAAAUUAACUCCAAAGAGUCUUCAGAAAUUAACUCCAAAGAGUCUUCAGAAAUUAACUCCAAAGAGUCUUCAGAAAGUAACUCCACAGAGUCUUCAGAAAGUAACUCCACAGAUGACCAUAAAGACAACUCCUCUGAUUCUUCUAAAUCAGAGGAUUCCUCAGAGGAAAAGGAUGACAAGGAAGAUGCUGUAGAGUCAGACAAAGAUUCUUCUGAUGACGAUAAAGAGGAUUCCUCUGAUUCCGUUGACGCUGAUGACGCUUCUAAGGAUGGGCCUGUUCCUAUCACCCCAUUCUCUGAGUAGAGCCCACAAGACACUGGAAUCAGAUGAUCAGGAUAACAAACAUCAUCAAAACUCCACCAUUGCUCUUAACUUCCUUAAACAUCUGCUACAUAGAAAUAAACUACAACAUUUAUUGCAUAAAAAAG